UACGUAGGGGGCAAGCGUUGUCCGGAAUCAUUGGGCGUAAAGCGCGUGUAGGCGGCCCGGUAAGUCCGCUGUGAAAGUCGGGGGCUCAACCCUCGAAUGCCGGUGGAUACUGUCGGGCUAGAGUGCGGAAGAGGCGAGUGGAAUUCCUGGUGUAGCGGUGAAAUGCGCAGAUAUCAGGAGGAACACCGGUGGCGAAGGCGGCGACCUGGGUAGAUACUGACGCUGAGGCGCGAAAGCGUGGGGAGCAAACAGG
rnacentral:rRNA from 1 species